AUUUGUGUGGUGCAGUGAUUUGAGUGUUGGACUGAGACUCUGGAGACCAGGGUUCAAAUCCCAGCUUGGCCA